CCCUGUUUUGGGAAGCAGACAUCUUAAAUCCUAGUCCAAAUGCCUGCCCUUCUCCAGUUGUUUAUAGAAUGUGUCAUCUAUUAGUGUAUUCUGUAGUUGCCCCAUUGUGCCAUGGAAUACCAGAAGCCAUUACUUCUAUCUAGCUCUGUUUUGGUUCACAUUGUCCAACCUCCUCCAUUUCUCUUCUCCCCAGCAUUCCCAGUCUCUAGAAAUCAAUUAAAUAAAACUUUUUAAAUCAGAAAACAGCACUAUGCUUCAAAGUGUGAAUAAUAACAGAGAUGAUAUUUUGAAGGCUUUGUAGAUUUUUAAACCACCUACUAUUAUGAGAUAGAAUAAAACAGAAGGACAUGACUGUAGCCCCCAGAGAGAAAAGAGAGAACCACUUCCACACAGACAUUUCCUUAUCCUCUAGGGAACCACAAGGCAGUGUCCAGGGCAACAAACCCCACCUUUGGACAGCGUGUAUUCCCUCGUGAACUGCAGAUGUUAUUUAUGGGAACACACAGGCAGGCUGGAGGAGAGCACGCGGAACGCACGACUGUGGGCUUGACUCUGAACUCCCUCAUUAACUACAGCACAAAUCACGUUUCCCAUCCAAGUGCAUGCUGCCUUAAUGCUGGGUCUUGAGAGGUGUGCAAUUAACUCAUACCAGCUCUGAGCAGAAGUUUUAAAUUAAACAGAUGUGAUGUAUAUUAAUGGUCUAAUGUGACAUCAAAGGAGAAGUUUGGAAUUAUUUUCUUUCUUUCUCCAAAUGGGCUUUGGGCUUUGAUCUGGCGCACUCUCUCUCAUUUUGCCAGGAUUAGUGUGAUGGCUAGAGGCUCAGUGUUGGAAACACACAGCCACUUAAGGACUCACUGUGUGGCUGCGGCUGCCUCUCCCUGAACCCAAUUUCCUGUGUGGGGAUAGGGCUAGAAUUGGUUCUCCUUGAAAGAAAACAAACAAACCAAAAAAUGAAUCCAGGAAGGUUUAGUAUAUCACACCAAAAAUAAUCAAGGAUAAAACUUUCUUGGAAGAGGUUGUAUUUUAUUAUUUUAUGACUCUGCUAUUUUUCAUCUUAACAUAUAGAACGUAAGCUUUUGAAAUAUGUAUAAAAUCUGCGGCAAGCUGUCAAGCCUAGUGCUAAGAUACAGGUGUUCCAUCCACUGGCUCACUCCCCAAAAGCCGGAGCUGGGCUGAUCCAAAGCCAGGAGCCAGGAGCCUCUUCCAGGUCUCCCACAUGAGUGCAAAGGCCCAAGGAGUUGGGCCAUCUUCCACUGCUUUCUCAGGCCACUGCAGAGAGCCAGAUCAGAAGUAGAGCAGCCAGGACUCAAACCAGUGCCCACAUGGGAUGCCGGCACUGCAGGUGGCGGCCCCGCCCGCUAUGCCACAGCGCCAACCCCUAAAAUAAACGGCCUCUAAAAUAAAUCUUUUAAAAAGUAAAGAAAAUGAGCAACUCAGAGUUCUAAAUUGUUGACCAAGGACCAGCUGAAAACAAAAGACUACAUGGGACUUAAAGGAAAACAUCACUUGUAGCUAUUGGGCUAAGAGAGAGAAAACCAAACACCAAGUUGGAUCUUAGUAAUUGUCAAAUUACACGAUUAGUUGAAUUGAUGGCUUUCCCAGCUGUAAACAGUGAAAAUUAGAACCCUGGCUGGGCAAGAAUGUUUCCCAGAAAACUUGCAGAAUCGUAUCUGGGAUUUCCACCGUGUUCUGUGCUUCCAUCACUACAGGAAGCUGCCCUGCCUUCCUUCAUUUGAAUAUAUCUCGCUGUGUUAGCUUAUCAUUACUGCAGCAAAUAUUGUGGAGUGGCUCCUUAGGAAAGAAGAAGGUCUAUGUCAACUGACAGUUUUGGAGGUUCACAGUCUGCGAUUGGGUGGAGCCACUCGUCUGGCAUCUGAUGAGGGCAAUGGAUGCAGAACACGUGCAGAGGGAAGAUUGCAUGGGAGCCAGAAUCACCAAGAGCAGCCAGGCCCAACUCUGAUUUUAUAACCAUCCCUCUCUCAAGAACUACCCUCGCAGGCCAUGGCCCAAUGACCCAAAGAACUCUCACUCUGCCCACCUCGUAGACUCCAUAAUUAGAUUAAGUCUCUACUUUUAACCACUAUAUGAGGUUUCAGGAACCAAGCCCCCAAUGCAUAUGCCUUCGGGAAAUGUUCAAACUACUAUCCAAACCAGAACACUUGCUUUACUUAAAGCUCCUGCAACACUUUUAUCUGCUUGCAAAAGGAAGCAACUUCCUCACUUGUCCUCCCCUCCAUUUUUUCCCAAACCAUAACUAGACUCAGAGUCCAAGUAUGUAAAGGUGGCCAAUUAUAAAGUCAGACUGAGGGGAGAUUAUUUUGCUAACUUGUAUUAGAAAAAAAUAGAAUACCUAAGAGUUAUUAUUAGGGUGCUAGAUCAAAUAGAACAGAUUAAAAUUUUGGAUUAGACUGAAAUUAUCAAUGUGGGUGAAAUUGCCAGAUAUUCUGAAAUCACUGGUUCAGAUCAAAUAGCUGGGGGCCAUUAUAACUGUGUGCUCCAUUUCUAUAUUAAAAUUCCAGCACACUGUGGCAAACUAUUGCCCAGAACUGCUACAACAAAGCUUCAAGUAGGCCUGAUGAGGCAAAAAACAAAAACAAAACCAAAAAAACCCACAAAUGCAGCAGGAAUUAGAGUGUAUGUCUGUUGAGAAGUAAAAAAUUCCUUUUUUUUUUGCAAGCAGGUGGGCCCUUGAAGAUGGCAUGAGUUUCCUUCUUUCAGCCUACAGUGAUUUCAGUCAUGGUUCUCACUCCACUGAUGUGAGGGCUGGAUCCGUGAGAGCUGUUGAGGCCAAAGAAUGCAGAGGACACCUCUGUGAUCACCAGUGGAGAGCCUGAUGAGUUUGGUUAUGGCCACCAACACGUACUCUGGAAUCAUCCAUGAAUACUAUGCAGUGAUGGUACAACCAGACCCUGAGAAGCAGCUAUGGUGUCUCAAGUAAUUGGAUUCCUGACAGCCACAUGGGGGACGUGGAUUGAGUUCGUGGCUCCUGGCUCUGACCCUUGCCCAGCCGCACCUGUUAUGGAAUGGCUGGGUGCCAGGCAAACUGAGACUGCAUACUAUUUACUGAUCUUGGCUGAGUCAAAGGAAAAUGAAUCAGGAGCCAGCACCAUGGCACAGCAGAUUAAGUUGCUGCCUGCAACACUGGCAUCCCAUUCGGGUGCCAGUUUGAGUCCCGGCUGCUCCACUUCCAAUCCAGCUGCCUGCUAAUACCUGGAGAAGCAAAGGAAGAUGGCACAAGUGCGUGAGCUCCUGCACCCAUGUAGAAGACCCGGAUGAAACUCCUGGCCCCUGGCUUCAGCCUGGCCCAGCCCUGGCUGUUGUGGCUGUUUGGGGAGUGACCCAACAGAUCAAAGGAUUCUCUCGGCCUCUGCCUCACUCCCUCUGAACCUGGCCUUUCAAAUCCAUCAAUCAAUCUUUAAAAUAAAAAAAGAGAAGAAAAUGAAUCAAAGGAGAGGUAUACACUGUUAUUGCAUAAAUGAGUGAAAGCAGCACUCAGAUCCUGUCCUGGGUGCUUCAGGGGCUGCAGGUUACAGUGCCGACGUGACCAAAUCCCACAUCGCUUGCAACCAGUCCUGAGAAAUGACACAGAAAUAGCAUCAAGAAAUCCAGAUGGGGCGAGCGUUGUGGCACAGCUGGUCAAGUCACUGUUUGGGUAGCCCACAUUGCAUGUCAGAGUGUCAGCUCAAGUCCCAUCUAGUCUGCUUCUGAUCCAGCUCCCUUCUAAUGCACCUGGGAAAGCAACAGAUGACAGCAUAAGUACUUGAGUCUUAUGUGGGAGACCUGGAUGGAGUUCCCAGAUCCUGGCUUUGCUGUGGUCCAGCCCUGGCUGUUGUGGCCCUUUAGGAAGUGAACCAGUAGAUGGAAGACCUCUCUCUCUCUCUCUCUCUGUGUGUGUGUGUCUCCCUCUCUCAUUAUCAUUCUGCCUUUCAAAUAAAUAAAUAAAUCUUAAGAAGAAAGAAACCCAUAUCACAAAAGUAUGAGUGUCUUAAGAAGGGAACCCCUAGUUCCUGGGGAACAUGUAUUUUGCCAAAAAGUACAAGAAGGGCCCAAGAAAGAAGUACGCCUAUAAUGCCAAGGUUUUGAGUACAUGUGCUGAGAACAGCAAAGAAGUGAAGUGCAAAAUCCCAAAGGAUGUCAGCCACAAACUCAAUCAACUUGCUGUCACCCACCCCAAGCUCAGGAACUGUACUCAUGCCUGAAUUACCAAAGUCUUAGGCUAUCUCAGUCAAAGGUCAAAGGUCAAAGGCCAAGGCUAAGGCUGAAGCCAAGCCGCAGGUCUAGGCCCAGGCCCAGGCCCAGGCUGCACCUGCAGCUCCAGCUCUAGUUCUGACUAAGAAUCAGACCCCCAAAGGCCCCCAGGGCCUCCAUGAAGGCUCUAUCAUCACAGCCGCGGUGUGCCAACAUGAGGACAAAGGACUGGUGUGACCCUGGGAUGCCGUCUACAUGGAGCUGCUGUCUUUCUGUGCUGUUUACACAAAUAAACCCAAGGCAGGGUCUCUUUAAAAAGUGGCACUUACAUUUAAAAUCUCCAUUUCUUCAGAAAUUAGGGAAUGCUCAUUCAGGUCUCAGCUGGAGCCAUCAAGAACUCCCGGGCAACUUCCACAGGCAGCUCUUCUCCGUCCUGACAUCCAAGAGAACAACCCGGAGUCAGAAGUGAGUGAUUCACUGGCAUGCAGAACAGGAGCGAGGAGGCUGGAAGGAGAUAGCAGUGAGUCAGGAUGAAGACAGGAGGAUCGCUUCCCUCCCCGUCCUGCUCGCAGAGCAGAGCCAGUGGUGACUUUGAGGCCUCGGCUCGCUCACUUUCCAUUCACUAUUCAACCCACCGCAAUCUGGCUCUCACCCACGCCAAAACUGCUUGUGACAAAGUUUUCAGUGACUUCCUAACUGCAAAAAGCAAUGCACAGUUCUCUGCCUGCGUGUUCCUGGACCUCUUUGCCUUGUUUGAAACUGCUGAGUCAUCCUCCUCCUUGUCAACAUCAUCGACAUCAGUUUCUCCUGGGUCUUUUCCUGCCUCCCGACUGCCCCUGCUUAGUCUACUUCAUUCAUCCAAGGUCCCAUGCCUGGUGCUGGGAAUACCGUGGCAAAUAUGCCAGUGUCUUCCCUUAUGGGGAAACAGACAUUAAGGAAUCAUUUCUAUUGCAACUAAAUAGUUACAAUUGCUCAACUGCCCUUAGGAAAACUACAACAAAGAAAGAGUACAAGGGGUUGUGGUGGCACAUACCCGGUGUGUAGCUGACACUGGGCCUAAGCGACUGCUUACUGAAAGAAGUCAUAUUUUAGUUAAGACCUGAAAGAUGUGAGGGUGCAACCAAGUGAGCAGGUGGGACAACAAACAGUCUUCCAGGCCAAGGCAACAGAAUGGGAAAAGGCUCUGAGGUAGAAAGAAGUUUGCAUGUUCCAGAAACAAAGAAACCCGCACAAUCUGUAUUCUAAAAAGAGCUCUCCUUGUCUAAGUCUGAGCUUACCAAACCCAGUCUGUUUCUCCUCCUUCCAUGGCACCACUAUGCAUUAGAAAAUCAGAAUCAUCCUAGACAACUUCAUCUCCUUUACCUUCUACUUCCAAUCAAUCACCACAUCUGUAGGUUUUGCUUAUUAAUCAUUUGUAGACAUCCACGCCUUUCUCACCAUCUCUGCUACCAUUGACCACUUAGGCCCUUAUUAUCCCUCUCUUGGUCAUGCACUAGCUUCUUAACGAAGUUGCCUCCAGACUUGCCCCUGCUUUGAGCCACCCCCUAUGCUACAACCUGAGUGCAUCCUACAAAAUGACCCCUGGCUAUGACCAGCUCCCUCACCUGCUGCAAACCCUUCUGAGGCUCUCCUAGAGCUUUGACAAAUGCUUUGCUCUAUCCCGGGUGUGCAAGGCCCCUAUGAUGUGGCCCCUGACUAUUGCCACCUACAGCCUCACACUGGACAGCCCAGGGCAAUUGAAGUGUUUGAGGUUCUUUGUCCAAUCCGUACUGUUUCAUCUUGCUCUGUUUGUGUUUGUAUUUUCCUUCUGCCUAGAAACCCCUUCAAUCUUUUCUCACUCUUUUUUUUUUUUUUUAAGUAUUUGUUUAUUUGAAAGGCAAAGUUACAGGGAGAGAGAGAGAGAGAGAGAGAGAGACCAACCUUCUAUCUGCUGAUUCAUUCUCCAGGUGGCUACACGGCCAGGCACCAGGAGCUUCGUCCAUGUCUCCCAUAUGGAUGCAGGAGCCCACAUAUUUGCUCCAUCUGCUGCUGCUGUCCCAGAUGUAUUAUCAGGAAGCUGGGUUAGAUGUGGAACAGCCAGGACUUCAACCAGUGCCCAUGUGGGAUGCCCGCAUUUCAGGUGGCAACUUACCCUGCUGCACGACAACACUGCCCCCCACCCCAUCUUUUCUUUUAAUGGUUGUCUUUCUUAUUUAAAAUUCAACUUGGGUGUUCAUCCAUGUCUUAUUGAUUUUAUGGCUAACAAUUGGAUCUUCUUUUCUUUUUUAAGAUUUAAUUAUUUAUUUGAAAGCCAGAAUUAUGUAUAGAGAGGGAGAGACAGAGAGAGAGAGGUCUUCAAUCCACUGGUUCACAUGGCCUCAGUGGCUAGGGAUGGGCCAGGCUGAAGCCAGGAACCAAGUGCUUCAUCUGGGUCUCCCACGUGGGUGCAGGGGCCCAAGCACUUGGGCCAUCCUCCACUGCUUUCCCAGGCACAGAAGCAGGAAGGUGAAUUGGAGGUAGAACAUCCAGGACCUGAACCUGUACCCAUAUGGGAUGCUGGUGCUGCAGAGGGCAGUUUAACUUGCUGAGCCACAACACCAGCCCCCAAAAUUGGCACUUCUGUUAUGUCCCAACUCUGGGCCCAUGACGCUUCUCAACUAUAGAAUCUCAUCAGAGAAAGACAAGAUGAAUGAAACUCCACAGAUGAGCUCUGAUCAGGCCAAGGAGGUCCAGGCCAAGCAGCAGUGGCAACUGCUGUAGGCUGCACUCAGGCACAGUCUCAGUUUCCCCUGGAAGCAGCAGCCCUCACUUCUGCUCACAUUCAUGGAGCAAUGCGAGUCACACGCCGCAUCUGACUUCCAGAAAGGAGAAGUCAUCCCAACUGUGUGCUGGGAAGGCAAAUAACUGAAAAUAUUUGGUGCUCGGCACUGAGGACAGCCACCAAGCUAUGUCAAAAUCAACACAUGAUGAGAAGUUAAAGAUUGAGUCCAAACCAAUUUUCACCUACACAAUUAUUUACACACUAAGCGUUCAGUGAGCAUUUCUUACGUGCUGCACAGAACACUGGGCUAAUAUUCGGCCUGUAUGUACCGGGAGGGUCAGAGUAGUUGAUUAAACAUUACAUUUCUACUGCAUCAUGCAAUUUCAGUAAGUCAAAAUGAAAUAAUAAUAUAAAUUAUAAAUGUAAGCCCUUUUGUUUGAGCUAAUUAUUUAGGAUGUGGCAAUAACAAAUAAGUGAGCACCCGUCCCAAGAACUUCUGGAAAACCGAAGUCUUUCUCUUUUAAGUCAGCGUGGGUCAAGAUGGGCUCCAUGAAGGGCUGUAUCCUCUUCCAGCUCCUGGGUGCUGGUGGGCUUGCUGAUUGCUAUCUGUCCUUGACAUACAUGGUGGCUCCUUCUUAAUAGUUUAGUUUUAGGCUGCUUCUUUAAAAAAAAAGGAAAGGAAAGGAAAGAAAUAGAGAGAUUUAUUUACUUGGGAGGCAGAGUUACAGACAGAGAGAGGAAGAGACAGAGAAGUUUUCCAUCCGCUGGUUCAUUCCCAGAACAGCCACAAUGGCCGGAGCUGGACCAAUCCAAAAGCCAGGAGCCUGGAGCUUCUUCCAGGUCUCCCACACAGGUCCAGGGGCCCGAGGAGUUGGGCCAUCUUCUGCUUUCCCAGGCCAUCAGCCUUCCCUUGCUCCCUUCAAGUCUGGUCAUUUUUCGUGCUCCCAUGGCUCCCAAACCCUGGCUGGUAAUGACGAUCACAACUGCCGAGAACUAGGAAAUAGGUGCUGUGGGCCUCUCCCUGGAGAGUAAGUCCCUUGAAGGCAGGAGUGUGGCUCCUUGCUCACUGCAGGAACUCAUACCCAGCAGUGUUUCCUAUACCCAAGAGGUGUUCGAUGUAUAUUGACUGAAUAAAAUAAGUCUCUCCCAUAUGGGUCUGCAAGUUGUUUUCUUUCUGACAUAAUCUAGUCUCCUGAAUUGAGGGCCUGACAACUCCCUUGAGACUGAUCCCUCUCUAGAGGAAUGAAUGGUCAAGGGUACCAGUCACUCAUCAACACUCGGCACCACUGCGUUUCUGUUCCCAUGGUGAUUCUUCCUCUAGACAGCAACCUCUGGGACCAUCCGAAGAGCUGCUCUUCACAGCACCUGUCUCUGCUGGGAGUUGAGUCUUUCUGCCACUGGUCUCCAGCGACCACAAGGGAGCAAGGUUAAAUUGAGGGGCUGGCUCCAUAGCUCACUGGGUUAAUCCUCUGCCUGUGGCACUGGCAUCCCAUAUGGGUGCCGGGUUCUAGUCCCAGUUGCUCCUCUUCCAGUCCAGCUGCUCUCUGCUGUGGCCCGGGAAGGCAGUGGAGGAUGGCCCAAGUGCUUGGGCGCCUGCACCCGCAUGGGAGACCAGGAGGAGGCACCUGGCUCCUGGCUUUGGAUCGGCAUAGUUCCGGCAGUGGCGGCCAUUUGGGGAGUGAACCAAUGAAAAAAAAAAAAAGGAAAACCUUUCUGUCUCUCUCUCUCACUGUAACUCUACCUGUCAAAUAAAUAAAUAAAAUCUUUUAAAAAAAAUUUUAAAAAAAAGGUUAAAUUGAAGACACUGGUUUGCGAUGGCUAUACAUCACUUGUGUGCAGGCUUCAUGUCUGCUCUAGGGCAGGGAAGAGUUAAAAGGGAAUUUCCACAUGAACAGCUGACCUUUGUGGACAUGGUCAUCCAAGGCAUUGUAUUAGACUCCAUGAACUUACGCUUUUGUUUUCCAACCACUGGAAUGUGCACCCCCUCAAUGGUCAUUAUUUGAGGCCUCUUCCCACUAAACCAUAAGCUCCUUAGUGCAGGGAUCAUACUAUUAUUCAUGUUUCCAGGCUGGGCCACUGCUUGGCGCGUGGUAGGUGUCCAAAUAUGUACUGAAAGGGCCUGGACUCAGUGUCAUAGAUAGGACCAACAGAAAAUCUUGGUUGAGCAAAGGAUUUCCUGUUCUUGACUUCAUUUUUUCCCCAGUCUUUUAGUUAGUUCAUUCCUGUUCAAUGACCCCAAAAUGGGUUCACUUUGGCCUUUGAGUUGCUGCUCUUGUUGGUCUCAUGAAUUUAAUUUUCUGGUUUUCUUGACUUGAAGUAAGUUUCACAAGCCAGGAACCAGUUCAGACAAGUUUCCCUAGUUUUAAUCAACAUACAAUAAACUGUGCAAAAUUUUUCCUUAUUAUAUUCCUAUGGCCUAGACAAAUGCCUGGCACAUUUAUACACUCAAAUAACUGAAUUAGUUAAUCCAUUAUGUUUACAGCUCAAAUGGAAACACUUCCCAUUCCCAGUUUUCCUGAGUUGUGUUUUCUCCUUUGCCAUCAGCCACUUCUGUUGGGUCAGCCAUUAACUCCUCAACGCCCAGCCAAUGCUGUGUGAGCCCCUUCCUCCUCAUCCCAGGAAGCAGUCUCCCCAUGGACUGCGUUCCCAUGAUUCACUGUGUGAACUCUGGAGCACAUGACAAUUUUAUCUGUACUAGCUUGUAAGCUCCUUGAGGAAGUUACCCCUUUCAUUUAUUAUUCCUCGAUUAGAAUGUCACCUGACAGUGUUGAAUGUUCAUGAUUUUAAAAAGGGAUACAUUUAAUAGCCUAUUAGAACACUGUCUUUUUAUUGUGGCAAUCUUCUUAGGACUCCCUGUGCAUGAAGAGUAAGGGCCUACCUGCAGCAGGGCCUUAGGUAAGGAAGCUCAGAACCAAGAAGUUUAGAUAAAUUUGAAAACCUACACAAAUGGUUAGCCUUGUACACAGAAAAUAUUUCCCAGCUAUGGGCUACACCCUCCGAUUCUGCUAGUCACCUCACAGCCAUAGUCGGGGAGCUAGACCUUGGUUUGAGGCAUAUAAUUAGGAACAGUAAUACCAUCUACAUUUUGCAGCAUCUGGUAUGACUUAAUAAGGUAAUACGUGUCCGUGUUUUGGUAAUUACUAUAGAACAUUCAAAUAUCCAUUGCUACUAUAAAACAAAUAGCGCAUUUAAAUCUAAGAGGGGGUAGGUUUCCUGGAGAGCAUAUUAACGUCAAAUUCAGAGCCUUGUAUACCCUGUAUGCUGAUAUGAAGACCUACUCAAGUUUGAAAGACUAUUUUGAAUUAUUCAGUAACAAUGUCUCUAAACAGCAUGAACUGAGAAAAAACUUCAAACCAAUAUUGCCUUAAAAGAAUGUUAACAGUUUACCAGUUGCUUUUAUCAUUUUUAGUCCUCAAAACCAGUGCUUGAGAUGGAGUAAAACUGUACUAUUUUCACUUUCCUAAUGAUAGAAAAAAAGUCUCAGUGACUGACUUCAGAUUGACUAGUAAGCAACAGCAGUGGGACAUCAAUUUGAUUGCAAUCAUUUGCUUUUGAAAUCUGCCACAUUCAGCAGACAAAACUAGGAGAACACUGGAAAUGUUCAGGCCUUAGGAAUAUUUCUACAAUGAUUUCAGAAAACUGACAGGGAUUUGAUCAUUAAUUUCUAGCUCAAAUCAGCAUUGAAUUUCCUGAACAAUAGCCCACAUUUAGCAUGGGCCUACUACUCCUUUCACUCCUAGAUCAAAGAUAUCCCCUCCAAGAAGAGUCCUAGGCUGGUUGUCAAUGUGAAUGUCCCUGAUGGAGCACUGGCUUUUUGUGCUGUUGUUUUUAAAUGGACAGAGCAUGGGCUUUUCACUCUGGUCUUUUGAAAAUCUCAAAGCAAAAUCAGUUAGAACUUCCUUUGGCUUACAAUAUAAAAGAUUUACAAGGGCAUGUCAGAAAGUUUGUGGAAAGUAAGAGUUAUUUUGGUACAAAAAAUGGAAAUCUAUGCAUGGUUUUGUAUGAUAUUCAUUGUCUAUGAACUUUUUGAAGUAUCUUCAUUUAGUUGUAAAGCAACUAAAUCUCAGGUUCCCUUAGAGGCCUCAGGAGAUUUCCUGGCCACCACAGGCAGUGCCUUUCCUUUGGAAGAUAAUGCACGCUUCUUGCAGGUGACUUCAGGUUAGCUAGAGGUCCCGCAGCUCCUAAACAUGAAUCUUUGUCUCUCUCUUAAAAACCCGAGGUCUUAAUUCAUGGUCAUCUCAAUGAUUAGAAUCUCAUAGAGUUGUGAUCAUCCGGGCAUCACUGAGACCCUGCUAACGUGUAGCCCAGGACAAGACACUGCUCAACUCUGGCUGCAGACAUACUCACCUCUCAAGAAGUACAGAAGAAUUGCUAUACAAGUUGCUACAAAGCUCUCUGAAGAAAUGACAGCCAGCCAGUUUUCCCAAUAGGUUGCAUUGCUCUGUUGGCUUCCAGUAGCUGAUGCAGAUAGCAUUGAAAUGCAGCAGUGUUUUGUUCCUCAGAGUUUGUCACUUAACUACAUUAUUAAGAAAACUAAUUUCUCUUUAAAUUGGCCAGUAGGCCACCAUUUUAUUUGUCUACAUCCAGUAUAGUAUAAAAACCAGAUCUGAAAUUCAACAGAUGCCUUCAAAGAAACUGAGAUGUUUAAAUAACACCCCACUAAGAAAAUCACAACCCAAAAGUUGUUUUACUCAGACUAUUUUACAGAUUCUUCAAAGGUCUCGGGAACUAGUCUCAUGAUAAAACAUUGGGAUAAGGCGUAAAGAAUAUGGUGAAAGUUAUCGCCAUUACCCUGAGAAGUGAAUAUUUCGAAAAGGUUCCUUUUAAGCCCUGUCCAGACUGCAAAUCAACACAUUUCACAGAGCCGCAAUGACUCAAGUUGUCAACAGGUUCACCUGAAGAAAAAAAAAAGUUUCAUGUAUCCGAUAAGCUAUUUAGAAAUUUUACAUAAGCAGGCUCUGCUAAGAGUUCUACAGAUGUUGCUUAGGAUGGCAUAUACACUUUGCUUUUUAAAAAAAAUUUUACUUCUUACUUCUAACAGGGUCAUAUCAGCUUAGAAGUCAGGUCAUUUAAGCUUGGGAGGUUUCUCUUUUCCUGUAAAAAUAUGGCAUAUUUUAAAAUUCAAAAUAUCUUUUUCAACAUCAUCUUGUUUUGCUAGUGUCUUGACUCUGCAACUGUUUUAAUCUGUAGCACUAAUAAACCUGCCACUCUGAGGUUAUGUUUAUGGUCAAGACAAUUUUACUUAAGAUUCAGAGCUUUUUCACAAAAUACAGCAAAAUAUACUCUGGUAUGAUUUGGAAAAACCGUAUUGUUAAAAGCACAGGAUUCUCAUCAGAUUCUUGGUUCACUAAUUAAACCUUUAAAUAAUAAUAAUAAAAGACUUUAUCACAAGCUUUUCAAGACUAAAAUAAAAAAAAGAGCAAUUGCCAACCGAUUAACGUUGGAUGGGGGUGACAUGGCACUCUGCCAGAGCCACCACUGAUUCAAGAGCACAGCACAUGUGGAAGGCUGCAGCCAAAGGCCAGCAGCACAUGGAUUUAUCUCAAGUAAAGCCCAGGUAUGUUACCAGGACCAGGAAGCUUGGCUGCAAUCAUGAAAGCUGAAGAACGUGAUUGGGUCCUUGAGGCUGUUCCUUUCCAACCUCAGUUUUCAAGUGGAAAUCAGACUAUAACCCAGGGGCAGGAACUUGGUCUAGCUGUUAAGUUGCCAGCUAAGACACCUGAUUCCCAUCAGUGCUUGGGUUUGCGUCCUGGCUCUGCUCCUGCUUCCAGCUUCAUGCUACUGCAGAUCCUAGAAGGCAACAGUGGUCCUGGCUACCUACAUAAGAGACCUUGGAGUUCCUGGCUCUUGGUUCCCAUUGUGAGCAUUCAGGAGGUUAAACAGCAGAUGGGAGCUCCUUCUCAGAUAAAUAAAAUAAUUAAAAAAAAAAAAAAAAUAUAUAUAUAUAAAAAACCCACCAGGCUACCCAUUACCCCUACAGUCACCUAGAUUUCCUUUUAUUGCUAGUUCUUGUUCUCUCUCCGGAAGAUGACAAUCCAGCUAACAAUUCAUUUACCAGACUAUUUAAAUUUUGGGUCUAAAAAAAAUGGGUAAAUUACUCAAUAUUAGGAUUUAAGACUACUAUUAUUUUCAAAUAUUCGGAAUGCUUUUUUUCUUCCUAACGGACCAUUCUCAAAUCCAAACCUACUCUUCAGAAUGAAGGUGGACUUGUAAUACUGGAUGUCAAGCCAUACAACAGAAAGAUGAAACAACUUCCGCAUAUGAGGAACAAUGUCUAUACAGAGAAAGCUAAGAUAUAAAACCACUAUACUUUGUGCUAAGGAAAUGAUCACUUUUGUUCCAGAAAUCAGCAUUCUACUAAUAUAAAGAAAACAUGCAUAGCAAAUAAUGCAACAUUUUCAGAUUUGCCUCAGCAAAACUGUGGUAUGUGUCAAUAACUGAUCAUACACAGAUAAAGAAAUUUCCAAAGACAGUCAAAUUUACUUCUUACUCAAGGUUUAGGACCUACCACUUAAAUGUGUGUUUUUAUUUGUAAAACAACAAAUACUGCUUUUCACUAAUGUUAACUGUACUGUUUUGGAGACCAUGAGAGAAUAUUUUUGAGAAAUAAAAAGAAAGGCCAUUUUGAGAGUGUCUUGCUUGCCUCUUUCCUCCGCACUGUUACAUAUAAAAUCAUUUCAGGAUAAAGUAGACGUAAUUCUGCCUUUAGACACCAUCACUGAUGGGCAUGUGAAAGUACAAAACAUUAAUUUAAGAAUUAUAUAUAUAUUUCAAAGGUUCCAAAUGCCAUACCCAACUUUAAGGAGCAAAACUAACUUUAAGUUUGACCUGUCUUUUGGUUACUACUGUCAUCUUUUACUUCCCGUGAUUGUCCUAUUGGAAGACCAGUAUGCCAAAUAAAGGUUUUGAAUACUACCAACUAUUAAGGACAACAAAGAAGAGUUUAAGGAAAGAAUAUAUUUGAAUCACAUAAACAAACAAGAAGGUAUUACAUAAGAAAAAUAAUGUAACAAUUUAUGUAAGUACCUAACAUGAGCAUGCUCUUAUAUCUAAAACAAAAAAAAAACAAAACAGUAACAUUGGUACUAUAUAUAUAUAUUUGACAA